rnacentral:snoRNA from 1 species
CUGCGGUGAUGACUUUCUUAGGACACCUUUGGAUCAAACUGUGAAAAGAAAGAGUAAUUUCUGAGCAGU